rnacentral:rRNA from 1 species
GCUCCAAUAGCGUAUAUUAAAGUUGUUGCGGUUAAAAAGCUCGUAGUUGGAUAUCAGUUUUAGGCGGGCGGUACACCUUACUGGUGGUCACUGCCGUCCUGAGACCUCGACAGCUGGCCUCUCCUGCUAUGCUCUUAACCGAGUGUGGUGGGUGGCUGGCAUGCUUACUUUGAAAAAAUUAGAGUGCUCAAAGCAGGCGU